UACGUAGGGUGCAAGCGUUAAUCGGAAUUACUGGGCGUAAAGCGUGCGCAGGCGGUUUUGUAAGUUUGUCGUGAAAUCCCCGGGCUCAACCUGGGAAUGGCGAUGAAGACUGCAAGGCUAGAGUUUGGCAGAGGGGGGUAGAAUUCCACGUGUAGCAGCGAAAUGCGUAGAUAUGUGGAGGAACACCGAUGGCGAAGGCAGCCCCCUGGGUCAAAACUGACGCUCAUGCACGAAAGCGUGGGGAGCAAACAGG
rnacentral:rRNA from 1 species